rnacentral:rRNA from 1 species
UACGUAGGGUGCAAGCGUUGUCCGGAAUUAUUGGGCGUAAAGAGCUCGUAGGCGGUUUGUUGCGUCGGCUGUGAAAUCCCGAGGCUCAACCUCGGGCCUGCAGUCGAUACGGGCAAACUAGAGUACUGCAGGGGAGACUGGAAUUCCUGGUGUAGCGGUGAAAUGCGCAGAUAUCAGGAGGAACACCGGUGGCGAAGGCGGGUCUCUGGGCAGUAACUGACGCUGAGGAGCGAAAGCGUGGGGAGCGAACAGG